GAUGAACGCUAGCGGCAGGCUUAACACAUGCAAGUCGAGGGGUAGAAGUUGCUUGCAACUUUGAGACCGGCGCACGGGUGCGUAACGCGUAUGUAAUCUACCUUAUACAGAGGGAUAGCCCAGGGAAAUUUGGAUUAAUACCUCAUAGUAUAAUUGAAUGGCAUCAUUUAAUUAUUAAAGUUCCAACGGUAUAAGAUGAGCAUGCGUCCUAUUAGCUAGAUGGUAAGGUAACGGCUUACCAUGGCAACGAUAGGUAGGGGUCCUGAGAGGGAGCUCCCCCACACUGGUACUGAGACACGGACCAGACUCCUACGGGAGGCAGCAGUGAGGAAUAUUGGACAAUGGGCGCAAGCCUGAUCCAGCCAUGCCGCGUGCAGGAAGAAGCAUCUAUGGUGUGUAAACUGCUUUUGUACGGGAAGAAACACCCCUUCGUGAAGGGACUUGACGGUACCGUAAGAAUAAGGAUCGGCUAACUCCGUGCCAGCCGCCGCCGUAACAC
rnacentral:rRNA from 1 species